GAUGAACGCUGGCGGCGUGCCUAAUACAUGCAAGUCGAGCGAACGGACGAGAAGCUUGCUUCUCUGAUGUUAGCGGCGGACGGGUGAGUAACACGUGGAUAACCUACCUAUAAGACUGGGAUAACUUCGGGAAACCGGAGCUAAUACCGGAUAAUAUUUUGAACCGCAUGGUUCAAAAGUGAAAGACGGUCUUGCUGUCACUUAUAGAUGGAUCCGCGCUGCAUUAGCUAGUUGGUAAGGUAACGGCUUACCAAGGCAACGAUGCAUAGCCGACCUGAGAGGGUGAACGGCCACACUGGAACUGAGACACGGUCCAGACUCCUACGGGAGGCAGCAGUAGGGAAUCUUCCGCAAAGGGCGAAAGCCUGACGGAGCAACGCCGCGUGAGUGAUGAAGGUCUUCGGAUCGUAAAACUCUGUUAUUAGGGAAGAACAUAUGUGUAAGUAACUGUGCACAUCUUGACGGUACCUAAUCAGAAAGCCACGGCUAACUACGUG
rnacentral:rRNA from 1 species